rnacentral:rRNA from 1 species
GACGAACGCUGGCGGCGUGCCUAAUACAUGCAAGUAGAACGCUGAAGGAGGAGCUUGCUUCUCCGGAUGAGUUGCGAACGGGUGAGUAACGCGUAGGUAACCUGCCUGGUAGCGGGGGAUAACUAUUGGAAACGAUAGCUAAUACCGCAUAACAGUAGAUGUUGCAUGACAUUUGCUUAAAAGGUGCAAUUGCAUCACUACCAGAUGGACCUGCGUUGUAUUAGCUAGUUGGUGAGGUAACGGCUCACCAAGGCGACGAUACAUAGCCGACCUGAGAGGGUGAUCGGCCACACUGGGACUGAGACAUGGCCCAGACUCCUACGGGAGGCAGCAGUAGGGAAUCUUCGGCAAUGGACGGAAGUCUGACCGAGCAACGCCGCGUGAGUGAAGAAGGUUUUCGGAUCGUAAAGCUCUGUUGUAAGAGAAGAACGAGUGUGAGAGUGGAAAGUUCACACUGUGACGGUAUCUUACCAGAAAGGGACGGCUAACUACGUG